UCACCGGGUGAAAAAUUUGCUU
rnacentral:miRNA from 1 species